rnacentral:tRNA from 2 species
GGAGAAAUGGCAGAGUGGUCGAAUGCGGCGGUCUUGAAAACCGUUGUACCGCAAGGUACCGGGGGUUCGAAUCCCUCUUUCUCCG